rnacentral:misc_RNA from 1 species
AACUUUUGGCAAUGGAUCUCUUGGUUCUGGCAUCGAUGAAGAACGCAGCGAAAUGCGAUAAGUAAUGUGAAUUGCAGAAUUUCAGUGAGUCAUCGAAUCUUUGAACGCACAUUGCGCCCCCCGGUUUCCCGGGGGGCAUGCCUGUCCGAGCGUCAUUGCCAUCCCCUCAAGCUUCCGCUUGGCUGGUUGGGCCGGCGUCCACCCGUGGCUCCCGCCGUGGGGGGACGGGCCCGAAAGGCAGUGGCGGCUCCUGGGGACUUGGGUCCUUUGGGCGGUGAUGCAUGGGUCUCUUCAUCCACCGUCCCACGGGUCCUGCCCCGGGAGUCUGUCGAACGAUCGGUCUUCCCCUGUAGGUUGACCUCGGAUCAGGUAGGGAUACCCGCUGAACUUAAGCAUAUCAAUAAGCGGAGGCU